AACAGACGCUAGGGGAGCUCCUGGUAGCGGGGCUGAGAUACGGGCGGCAAGCCCGCGACCCUUUGCACCUGAUCUGGAUAAUACCAGCGUAGGGAAGCGUGCAGGUUUUGGU
rnacentral:ncRNA from 2 species